rnacentral:rRNA from 1 species
AAUGGGCGAAAGCCUGACCGAGCGACGCCGCGUGCGGGAUGAAGGCCCUCGGGUUGUAAACCGCCGUCAGUAGGGAGCAAUUUCUUGGGGUUAUCCCCUUGAUUUGAGCGAUCUUCAGAGGAAGUACGGGCUAAGUUCGUGCCAGCAGCCGCGGUAAGACGAACCGUACGAACGUUAUUCGGAAUCACUGGGCUUAAAGAGUCCGUAGGCGGCCGUGUAGGUGGGAUGUGAAAGCCCUCGUCUCAACCGAGGAAUUGCGUUCCAAACCACAUGGCUUGAGGAGGAUAGAGGUGAGCGGAACUGAUGGUGGAGCGGUGAAAUGCGUUGAUAUCAUCAGGAACACCAGAGGCGAAGGCGGCUCACUGGGUCCUUUCUGACGCUGAGGGACGAAAGCUAGGGGAGCAAACGGGAUU